rnacentral:rRNA from 1 species
AUGGAGGAAGGCCCGGAUUACUGCAUCAUCACGCCGCCAGAGAAGCUGAACGUCACGGCGAUCGACACCUACGACGACCACCGGAUGGCGAUGGCCUUCUCCCUGGCGGCCUGUGCCGAGGUACCAGUCACCAUCAGGGACCCCGGGUGCACCCGCAAGACCUUCCCCAACUACUUCGAUGUGCUAGGCACCUUUGUGAAGAACUAG